rnacentral:lncRNA from 1 species
UGCACUUGAACAUGAAUGCAUAUAGAAGGAUAAAUGAUUCAUGUCAUCAUCACCAAUGUAAGAAUAUAGGCUCUCACAUCGAAAAUUUAACUAACUGGAACAUAAAUAAUAUAUAAAAAGUUAUGACCAUUCCAUUUAGGGCAAAUCUCCAAAAUAACACCUUUCUAAGUUUAUAUCACAAAAAUAGCACUCAAAAACUAAAAUGACCAAAAUAGCACCUUUCUAAGUUUAUCCUUUGAAAAUUUUAAUUUUUUUAUUUUUCGAAAUUUGAAAUCUUAUCCCCAAAACCUCAUUUCUCAACUCUAAACCCUAAACCCUAAACUCUAAACCCUAAACCCUAAACUCUAAACCCUAAACCCUAAAACAUAAACCCUAAACCCUAAACCCUAAACUCUAAACCCUAAACCCUAAAAUCUAAACCCUAAACCCUAAACUCUAAACCCUAAACCCUAAAUCCUAAAUCCUAAACCCCACCCUUUAACUC